UGUAGUUAAGUCCCAAGGAAAAGAAAAGCAAUUGCAAAAUGGGAAUGGAAACCUUGGUCUGUCUGGUGUUUGUUUCAGCACUGUCAGGCAGAAAAAGAAAGCGAGAAGUCUACAUAUGAUGCUGGAGGCUUCCUGGUCUUACUGCUGCCAAUCUACAAAAUUCAGGUUGCUGGCCCAGUGAUGAUGAUCUUCUCACUACUGUCACAGUUGCCCUGAGAAGCUCCCGAAGGAGAAGCCAGAUAAUGUGUGAAAAAGAAUGGAGGCUGGAACUGGAAGGGAAGUUGAAAAGGACCCAUGCAUCUGUGGACGAGGGGAUCACAGGCUGUGGCAGAGCUCCUCAG